AACGAACGCUGGCGGCAGGCCUAACACAUGCAAGUCGAGCGAGCAUUUCGGUGCUAGCGGCGGACGGGUGAGUAACGCGUGGGAACGUGCCCUUUUCUGCGGAAUAGUCCUGGGAAACUGGGGGUAAUACCGCAUACGCCCUUUUGGGGAAAGAUUUAUCGGAGAAGGAUCGGCACGCGUUGGAUUAGGUAGUUGGUGGGGUAAUGGCCCACCAAGCCGACGAUCCAUAGCUGGUUUGAGAGGAUGAUCAGCCACACUGGGACUGAGACACGGCCCAGACUCCUACGGGAGGCAGCAGUGGGGAAUCUUAGACAAUGGGGGCAACCCUGAUCUAGCCAUGCCGCGUGAGUGAUGAAGGCCUUAGGGUUGUAAAGCUCUUUCAGCUGGGAAGAUAAUGACGGUACCAGCAGAAGAAGCCCCGGCUAACUCCGUG
rnacentral:rRNA from 1 species